UCGGCUCAUCACAUCCUGGGGCUGAAGUCGGUCCCAAGGGUAUGGCUGUUCGCCAUUUAAAGUGGUACGCGAGCUGGGUUUAGAACGUCGUGAGACAGUUCGGUCCCUAUCUGCCGUGGGCGUUGGAAGAUUGAAGGGGGCUGCUCCUAGUACGAGAGGACCGGAGUGGACGAACCGCUGGUGUUCGGGUUGUCAUGCCAAUGGCAUUGCCCGGUAGCUAAGUUCGGAAUUGAUAAGCGCUGAAAGCAUCUAAGCGCGAAGCGAGCCCUGAGAUGAGUCUUCCCUGGCACUUUAAGUGUCCUAAAGGGUUGUUCGAGACUAGAACGUUGAUAGGUUGGGUGUGUAAGCGCUGCGAGGCGUUGAGCUAACCAAUACUAAUUGCCCGUGAGGCUUAACCAUACAACACCGAAGGGGUUUUGU
rnacentral:rRNA from 1 species